UCUCUUCCUCCUCUUCCAUUUGGAACCACCUCCAAGAAGCCUAAUCUCUGCACCUCCUUCCAUCGUCAUCACCAACAAAUUUGUUGGCAUUGCAUCCUAAUCGACACUAAUACGCCUCUAAGCCGAGCCAUCCCUCUCCUGUCCUUGCUUGUCCAUGGUCAGUGCCUCCAGAUUUGGCCUAGUCGAACUUCCAGUUCUGAAAGUUCGGCCAGAUCUAGAGCAUGAAGUGACAAAUCAUCGGUGACGCCAUGGACGAUAGACAAGACAGGGUUCUGUGAACUCACCAAUAACCACCAUUGUCACGGCAUGUCGUCCAUGACCGUUGGGCUCUCGACCUCGCCCGUCACGUUCAUGGACGAGCUGGUCGCGGUCAGAUUUGAGAAGCCUGAAUCCAUGCUUCUAAUCUCUAGACGUUCGCCAGAUCUGAGACCAUUUUGAAUCAGGAGGAAGUUGGCCAAAUGGAACUCGCCGUUGGGGGCGUCAGCUCAUGUGUUUCGUCUUGGAGAUAGAAGGGUUAUGUCUCUUUCUCCAUCCAGACUCGUGUGUUUCGUCUCGGAGACUCCAUAAUUUGCAU
rnacentral:lncRNA from 1 species